rnacentral:sRNA from 1 species
UCCCUAAAUGAUGAAUAUUUUUCAAAAGCCAUGGACCAAUAUCCAAGUGAGGCUUUUAUGUCAUAGUUACUCUGAUAGGGA